rnacentral:rRNA from 1 species
UACGUAGGGGGCAAGCGUUGUCCGGAUUUAUUGGGCGUAAAGAGCUCGUAGGCGGUGUGUCACGUCGGCCGUGAAAACCUGCAGCUUAACUGUGGGCGUGCGGUCGAUACGGGCAUCACUGGAGUUCGGCAGGGGAGACUGGAAUUCCUGGUGUAGCGGUGAAAUGUGCAGAUAUCAGGAGGAACACCGGUGGCGAAGGCGGGUCUCUGGGCCGAUACUGACGCUGAGGAGCGAAAGCGUGGGGAGCAAACAGG